rnacentral:rRNA from 1 species
UACGUAGGGUCCGAGCGUUGUCCGGAAUUAUUGGGCGUAAAGGGCUCGUAGGCGGUUUGUCGCGUCGGGAGUGAAAACAUCUGGCUUAACUGGGUGCUUGCUUUCGAUACGGGCAGACUGGAGGUAUGCAGGGGAGAACGGAAUUCCUGGUGUAGCGGUGAAAUGCGCAGAUAUCAGGAGGAACACCGGUGGCGAAGGCGGUUCUCUGGGCAGUACCUGACGCUGAGGAGCGAAAGUGUGGGGAGCGAACAGG